rnacentral:rRNA from 1 species
UACGGAGGAUCCGAGCGUUAUCCGGAUUUAUUGGGUUUAAAGGGUGCGCAGGCGGCCUGUUAAGUCAGCGGUAAAAGCCCGGGGCUCAACCCCGGCGAGCCGUUGAAACUGGCGGGCUAGAGAGCAGGAGAGGGCGGUGGAACUCCAUGUGUAGCGGUAAAAUGCGUAGAUAUAUGGAAGAACACCAGUGGCGAAGGCGGCCGCCUGGCCUGUUAACUGACGCUGAGGCACGAAAGCGUGGGGAGCAAAUAGG